AACGAACGCUGGCGGCAUGCCUAACACAUGCAGGUCGAACGAGACCUUCGGGUCUAGUGGCGCACGGGUGCGUAACGCGUGGGAACCUGCCCUUAGGUUCGGAAUAACUCCCCGAAAGGGGUGCUAAUACCGGAUAAUGUCUUCGGACCAAAGAUUUAUCGCCUUUGGAUGGGCCCGCGUUGGAUUAGCUAGUUGGUAGGGUAAAAGCCUACCAAGGCGACGAUCCAUAGCUGGUCUGAGAGGAUGAUCAGCCACACUGGGACUGAGACACGGCCCAGACUCCUACGGGAGGCAGCAGUGGGGAAUAUUGGACAAUGGGCGAAAGCCUGAUCCAGCAAUGCCGCGUGAGUGAUGAAGGACUUAGGGUUGUAAAGCUCUUUUACCCGGGAUGAUAAUGACAGUACCGGGAGAAUAAGCUCCGGCUAACUCCGUG
rnacentral:rRNA from 1 species